CGUUGAUAAUUUCUGCGAUUUGGUGUAAUUGUGAUCACAAAGGGCCGUCUAAGUGAAAACUGGUUUCGCCGAACGAAUAAGAUAUUUUCUGCAUGGUUUUCACUUCCUGGAUGAUGGACCCCACAAUGAUGGGCUAGGUUCCAUUAUGUGGAUAUGAGAUCGACCUAUUUCUUUCCGGAACUUGUUUUAUUCUUUAAACAAGUAUCCAGAGUGGCUAUUUUGAUGGCGCCAAAAGCCAAUCCGAACAAAAUGGAUUCCGGCUUGGAUUGCAUGCGUGCAUGCUUUAUAUGAUGGCUGUCGUCGAGGGAUACACUUUAGUUUAAGACAUAAAUACAC